rnacentral:rRNA from 1 species
GACGAACGCUGGCGGCGUGCCUAAUACAUGCAAGUAGAACGCAGUUGCGAACGGGUGAGUAACGCGUAGGUAACUGCCUCAUCACGGGGGAUAACUAUUGGAAACGAUAGCUAAUACCGCAUACUGUGAGAUGGACCUGCGUUGUAUUAGCUAGUUGGUGAGGUAAAGGCUCACAAAGGCGCCGAUACAUAGCCGACCUGAGAGGGGGGUCGGCCCAACUGGGAAUUGAGAAACGCCCAGAAGUCCAAGGGAGGCAGCAGUAGGGAAACUUUGGCAAUGGAGGGAAGGCUGAACGAGCAAAGGCGCGUGAGUGAAGAAGGUUUUCGGAUCGGAAAGCUAUGUUGUUAGAGAAGCGGUAACUAAACAGAAAGGGACGGCUAACUACGUGCCAGCAGCCGCGGUAAUAC